rnacentral:rRNA from 1 species
CGUAACAAGGUCUCCGUUGGUGAACCAGCGGAGGGAUCAUUACUGAGUUUUUAACUCUUAAACCAUUUGUGAACAUACCUUCUCUAGCUGCUUUGGCAAGGCUCUCUCGAGAGUCCUUGCCGGUAGCAUUUAUAAACUCUUUAUUAUAUUUCUAUAGAAUUAUUCAUUGCUGAGUGGCAUUAACUAAAUAAGUUAAAACUUUCAACAACGGAUCUCUUGGCUCUAGCAUCGAUGAAGAACGCAGCGAAAUGCGAUAAGUAAUGUGAAUUGCAGAAUUCAGUGAAUCAUCGAAUCUUUGAACGCACAUUGCGCCUGGCAGUAUUCUGCCAGGCAUGCCUGUCCGAGCGUCAUUUCACCCCUCAAGCUCUGCUUGGUGUUGGAGGACCCGCGAUUCUUUGCGGGCCGCCGAAAUGCAUCGGCUGUUGUAUUUGCAGCUUCCCUGUGUAGUAAUGCUUAGCUUUACACUUGGAAACUCUUAUAUGACAUGCCGGAAAACCCUCAAUUUGUGAAAGGUUGACCUCGGAUCAGGUAGGAAUACCCGCUGAACUUAAGCAUAUC